rnacentral:rRNA from 1 species
AGCUCCAAUAGCGUAUAUUAAAGUUGCUGCAGUUAAAAAGCUCGUAGUUGGAUCUCGGGGUACCUGGUCUAGCCGGUAUAGCUCACGCUAAAACUGGUCUGACCCCCCAACGUGAGGUAUUCGUCUCCGGGUGCACUUCAUUGGGAGCUCGUGAGGGGCCUCGUAGUUACUGUGAAAAAAUUAGAGUGUUCAAAGCAGGCUCAUAUGUUCGGAUAGUCGUGCAUGGAAUAACUUCAUACGUGACUUUCUCUUUUCAGUUGGUCUCUGCGACUGGUCAAAUGAUUAAGUUGGAUUGCCAGAGGCAUUUAUAUGACGGGGUUAGAGGUGAAAUUCUUGGAUCCUCGCCAGACCAACAAAAGCGAAAGCAUUUGCCAAGAAUGUCUACA